ACCAUCCUUUUCUUGGGGUUGUGCUACUGUCCAAUGAGCACAUGAUGAGGGCAAUACUGCUAACGCCUAAACAACACACCCACAUCAACUAGAGCUUUGCUUUUCCUUGGUGCAAUUUUUGGAAAA
ensembl:snRNA